rnacentral:rRNA from 1 species
AUGGCAUGGUGGAAAUUGUGUGUGCCGAAGUGCAAAGGAGAUAUGGGGUUUAGAGACAUCCACUGUUUUAAUUUAGUUCUUCUAGCAAAACAAGCAUGGAGAUUAAUAAAUCAUCCAGAUUCUUUGGGUGCUGGUGUUAUGAAGGCAAAGCAUUUUCCUAAUGGAGAUUUGCUCAAUGCCAAAUUAAAAAAGGUAGCUUCCUUCACUUGGCAAAGUGUUCUGGCAGGGGUUAAUACUUUUAAACAUGGGUGCAUAUGGAGAGUGGGUGAUGGACAUAAAAUCAAUAUAUGGGAUGACCCAUGGAUUCCUAGUUUGUGUAACAGAAAAGUUGUUAUUAUACGUGGCAACCAUAUCAUAUCAGAAGUAAAUGACUUGAUUGAGCAUUGUACUAACUAGUGGGAUGAGGAACUGGUGAGACAAACCUUCUGGUAGGUGGAUGUUCACCGAAUCUUAGCAAUUCACCUCCAAACUAUGAUGGAGGAUUUUGUUACAUGGGGUAUGACAAAAAGUUUUAGGGUUUUCAUGAAAUUAGCAUAUUAUGUUGAGUAGGACCACAAAUUCGGGGGCAACCUAUGUCGAGCAAAUGGGCAAGGAAUAAUGCAAGUCAGAAGUGUGUGGCAGUGAAUUUGGAGUUUGGACUGUUCGGCAAAGGUAAACAUAUUUGUCUAGAAAACUCUUCAUGGAACUUUACCUUGUGGUGUUAAUCUUUUAAACAAGGAUGUUAAGGUAUCACCACAAUGCCCUGCUCGCAGAACAGGGGUUGAUACUACUUUACACGCGUUGUUUCAGUGUCCAUCAGCUAUGCAAGUUUGGGAGGACUUGGGCUGGAUAAUAUUAUUAGUAAUGCAUGUCAAAUUGAUAGAGAAGGAGAAACUGUGCUUGAAUAUCUCAUGGAGUUGCCAGAACAUGAGACGUUUGUGA